rnacentral:rRNA from 1 species
UACGUAGGCAGCAAGCGUUGUUCGGAGUUACUGGGCGUAAAGGGUGCGUAGGCGGUUGUUUAAGUUUGGUGUGAAAUCUCCCGGCUCAACUGGGAGGGUGCGCCGAAUACUGAAUGACUAGAGUGCGGGAGAGGAGAGUGGAAUUCCUGGUGUAGCGGUGAAAUGCGUAGAUAUCAGGAGGAACACCUGCGGUGUAGACGGCUUUCUGGACCGUAACUGACGCUGAGACACGAAAGCGUGGGUAGCAAACAGG